rnacentral:lncRNA from 1 species
GUCUGGAAAUUCUUUGCCUCACUGUUUUUCAAAGAAGCUUAGCUAUGGAGGGAAGAUCCCGAGUGAAAGGCCUGGCCACCUCUGUUGACAUGUGUAACAAUAUGUUGAAUUUGCCAUGGGCCUUUAAAGCUUCAAUGUUGUGAAGAGCUCUGCAUGAAAUUUUAAAGAGACUGGACCUUUCAUCUGCACAACAGCAGGGCACCUCGCUAUAGGGACAAGAAAGGAAGAGAGAGAGAGAACAUUUCUGAAGUAAUAGUGAAAAAUAACAGCAGAAGCAAUUAUUUCAUCAAAGAUUGCAGGGAGAGGCUCCUCCGUGCUCCUGAGAGGCCGAACACAGGGUCGCCAGCACAGCUUACUGCUCGGUGUCUCCUGAGCCACAGAGGAAGACGUGGCAGGAGCACCUGGUGCUAAUAUAUAUUCAUGUCUAUGGCAAUGCCGACCAUCUGGCUGGUCUGAACCAGGAUAAAAGUGAAGAAUUCCUCUGUGAAGACCCAGCUCUUUCUUUGGCUCCUUUUUUGAAGCCAUCUUUGCUCUGCUCUCCUCUGCUGCCCAGAAAGUUCCAGAGUGAAGCUCAGCUCUAGAUGAACAAAAACUGGUUGAGUCCAGAGAUGCCUGAGUUGGAGAUGAACCUUGCAAACUUUCCUCAUUACCAUACUAAAAACCCCACCCAGGAAGGAGCUUAUCUGCCAUUUCCUACACAUGUGACAUAUGGAGAAGCAUGAUCAGCUACUUCACAGUCUCUGCCUUUACUCUGCCUCCGCAUACAAUGGCUCAGCCAACUAGCCUAACGAAAGCUGUUUUCACCAUUGUUUGGGAGGUACUGCUUUGGGAAACUGCCCCAGCUGUCCUCCUUACUUGUUGUAGGUAAUAAAAUCCCUUUGUUAAAUCUU